rnacentral:rRNA from 1 species
AGUGAACGCUGGCGGUAGGCCUAACACAUGCAAGUCGAACGGCAGCACAGUAAGAGCUUGCUCUUACGGGUGGCGAGUGGCGGACGGGUGAGGAAUACAUCGGAAUCUACUUUUUCGUGGGGGAUAACGUAGGGAAACUUACGCUAAUACCGCAUACGACCUACGGGUGAAAGCAGGGGCUCUUCGGACCUUGCGCGAUUGAAUGAGCCGAUGUCGGAUUAGCCAGUUGGCGGGGUAAAGGCCCACCAAGGCGACGAUCCGUAGCUGGUCUGAGAGGAUGAUCAGCCACACUGGAACUGAGACACGGUCCAGACUCCUACGGGAGGCAGCAGUGGGGAAUAUUGGACAAUGGGCGCAAGCCUGAUCCAGCCAUACCGCGUGAGUGAAGAAGGCCUUCGGGUUGUAAAGCCCUUUUGUUGGGAAAGAAAAGCAGCAGGUUAAUACCCCGCUGUUCUGACGGUACCCAAAGAAUAAGCACCGGCUAACUUCGUG